CAGCUUACUAUUCUUUUCGAGUAGACCCACAUAUUGAUCACGUGACAUACAUUUUUUUUUCAUUUUACGUCCCUGGCAGAGUUUUUGGAGUACUAUGAACUUACAGUCGUCUAACUUUGUAUUCAAAUGUAUUUAGUAUAGCCAGACAUUCUUACAACUCCAUUAUAUAGACUUUCAACAAUGGUAGACACAGUGUAUACAGGAACCGAACAACUGAACAGAGCAGAACAGUAUUCAAUGACCUUGAAGAGCAAGCAAUGUGUACAGUGAAACAGCUAUCUUUGUAGUUACCAAAGGGUUACGGCAAAAACCUCAUCUGUAAUUAUAUGUGGUAACCUUUCUGUGACAUGAUUUUCAUGGUGUUGGAUUAUAAAACUUUGGGGUCUAAUACAUCUAAAAGGAAGGU